GGGUCUCGCGACCCUCAAACCCACUGUGCAUUAAUACUACUUUACUGCUGCGGCGGGCCGCUCGCUGGGGGAGCUCUGGCCUGUAAAGGUGGCCCGCCAAAGCAACUUUUCAAACACUACUUUGAAAACCAAACCAAAACUUUCAAAUUAAAUACCACAACUCAUAACAAUGGAUCUCUUGGCUCUGGCAUCGAUGAAGAACGCAGCGAAAUGCGAUACCUAAUAUGAAUUGCAGAAUUCAGUGAAUCAUCGAGUUUUUGAACGCACAUUGCGCCCUUUGGCAUUCCAAAGGGCAUGUCCGACCGAGCGUCGCAACGCCGCCCGAAUCCGGCCUCUGGCAGUGGAAUCGGUGUUGGGGCUUUGCGCGGGGCUCUUGGCAGCCCCGCGGCCCUGAAAUCCAGUGGCAGCUCCUCGGGGAACCCUCAGCGCAGUAACAUACCCUGCCGCUCUGGAACCUUGUGGGAGACCUGCCGUAAAACCCGUUCUCUCAGAACACAUUUACUGGUUGGCCUCGGGUCGGACAAGAUUACCCGCUGAACUUAAGCAUAUCAAUAAGCGGAGGA
rnacentral:rRNA from 1 species